rnacentral:rRNA from 1 species
GAACGCUGGCGGCAUGCCUUACACAUGCAAGUCGAACGGCAGCACGGGAGCAAUCCUGGUGGCGAGUGGCGAACGGGUGAGUAAUAUAUCGGAACGUGCCCAGUCGUGGGGGAUAACGCAGCGAAAGCUGUGCUAAUACCGCAUACGAUCUAUGGAUGAAAGCGGGGGACCGUAAGGCCUCGCGCGAUUGGAGCGGCCGAUAUCAGAUUAGCUAGUUGGUGGGGUAAAAGCCCACCAAGGCGACGAUCUGUAGCUGGUCUGAUAGGACGACCAGCCACACUGGAACUGAGACACGGUCCAGACUCCUACGGGAGGCAGCAGUGGGGAAUUUUGGACAAUGGGCGCAAGCCUGAUCCAGCAAUGCCGCGUGCAGGAUGAAGGCCUUCGGGUUGUAAACUGCUUUUGUACGGAACGAAACGGUUCGCUUUAAUACAGUGGGCUAAUGACGGUACCGUAAGAAUAAGCACCGGCUAACUACGUG